UGGGAGCAUGGCCUUCAGAAUAAGAUCCUUUCUGGGCACUCAGUCCAUUAAAUAGAAACUUGCCUUCGGCUUGGAUGCUGGUACUUUUGG
rnacentral:lncRNA from 1 species